UACGUAGGGUGCAAGCGUUUGUCCGGAAUUAUUGGGCGUAAAGAGCUCGUAGGCGGUCUGUCGCGUCGGCUGUGAAAACCCGGGGCUCAACCCCGGGCCUGCAGUCGAUACGGGCAGACUAGAGUGCGGUAGGGGAGACUGGAAUUCCUGGUGUAGCGGUGAAAUGCGCAGAUAUCAGGGAGGAACGACCGGUGGCGAAGGCGGGUCUCUAGUACGGUACUGACGCUGAGAACGCGGAAAGCGUGGGGAGCGAACAGG
rnacentral:rRNA from 1 species